GACAGUAAACAUCCUGAAUUACUAUCAAUCAUGUGAUCAGCAAGUAGAAGGAGGAAAGAAAACUGGGCUGAGGGGAUUUUUAUUGAACUAUCCUUGUUCUUAAAUAGGGCUGCAGGGCAAAGAGACACGCAGGACAUCACCAUAACCGAAUGUAUUUCUCUAAUAAUUGUGGUAAAAAUGUAAGCUAAAUUAAACAAACCAAUCAACGUGCUCCCUAUCAGCAGUACAAAUUAGCAGUAAAGGCAGCUCAGAGUCAUUUCCUAGGAGUCCUCCCGGGUGAACGGGAAGCACUGACAUUUCCUGAGCAUGCCACGCAUUUCUACAUGCAUUGGCUCCUUUUAUCUUCACAGCGCUCUGAGUCAGGAUGUCUAUGAUUGGUUGGCAAAGAGAGCAACAUUUGAAUUUAAAGAAAAGACCAAAACAACCAAGUGUCAUUACAUCAGUGAGAAAGAUAAAGCUUCGUUGUCAGAGAAAACUCCAACUGGAGUCAGAGAUUAGGCACCAAAACCCUGUCUUAAGAUGAGGCUUUUGGCUAUCAGGAACUGAUUCAAUGAUUCCAACUGAGAACAAGGAAGAAGACAUCAGGAAAAACAUGGAGAAAAAUUAAAAUCCGUAUGGAGAAUAUACCAUGCAUAGGGACUCUGAGGUCAUACUACAGAUUUGUUUGUCUUUACUAAAUGUAAAUAUUGGUUGUCUUUACUAGAUGUAAAUUUAGAGAGGGCACUUGCUAAAUGUGUUGAUGAAUGUCUGGACAACUAAACGAAUCCACAGAAAGGGCAAUUUUAAUAGAGGUACCAAUUACUGAGUACUUAUAUGUACCAAGUAUUGUUUCUGCAACAUCUCUAAUUUUGACAACUCCUAUACAAAGUAGAUAUUAUUACCCCUUAUCUUAAAUAUGAAGAAAUAGAGGCUAGGAAGAGUUGGGUUAUUUAUCCAAGGUCAUUCAGCUAGCAAAACAUACCAUAAGUGAAACACAAGUCUAUCAGGCUUUAAAAGAUGAAAGAGAUUUACUAAACAAAAAGGUGCUUUAGAUAUAAAAAUCACUGAAUCAAGUCUGGUAGGCCUUUACAUCUUAAAACUUUAUGAGCUAAUGCCUAGCUACUAUAACAAUUGCUGGAUCUGGACUCAGCACUAAAUAAUAUGUUUGUUUAUUUGUUUAUUUUUGAGACAGGGUCCCACUCUGUGAUAAAGGCUAGAGUGCAGUGGU
rnacentral:lncRNA from 1 species